rnacentral:tRNA from 1 species
UAGGAAGUGGUGUAGUGGAGGCACUGGGAGUUUUGAUCUCCCCGGGUAGGGUUCGAGUCCCUUCUUUCUAA